rnacentral:rRNA from 1 species
AACGCUAGCUACAGGCUUAACACAUGCAAGUCGAGGGGAAACGACAUCGAAAGCUUGCUUUUGAUGGGCGUCGACCGGCGCACGGGUGAGUAACGCGUAUCCAACCUGCCCACCACUUGGGGAUAACCUUGCGGAAGUAAGACUAAUACCCAAUGACGUCUCUAGAAGACAUCUGAAAGAGAUUAAAGAUUUAUCGGUGAUGGAUGGGGAUGCGUCUGAUUAGCUUGUUGGCGGGGUAACGGCCCACCAAGGCAACGAUCAGUAGGGGUUCUGAGAGGAAGGUCCCCCACAUUGGAACUGAGACACGGUCCAAACUCCUACGGGAGGCAGCAGUGAGGAAUAUUGGUCAAUGGACGAGAGUCUGAACCAGCCAAGUAGCGUGCAGGAUGACGGCCCUAUGGGUUGUAAACUGCUUUUAUAAGGGAAUAAAGUGAGUCUCGUGAGACUUUUUGCAUGUACCUUAUGAAUAAGGACCGGCUAAUUCCGUGCCAGCAGCCGCGGUAAUACGGAAGGUCCGGGCGUUAUCCGGAUUUAUUGGGUUUAAAGGGAGCGUAGGCCGGAGAUUAAGCGUGUUGUGAAAUGUAGACGCUCAACGUCUGCACUGCAGCGCGAACUGGUUUCCUUGAGUACGCACAAAGUGGGCGGAAUUCGUGGUGUAGCGGUGAAAUGCUUAGAUAUCACGAAGAACUCCGAUUG